rnacentral:rRNA from 1 species
GCGAAAAACCUUACACACAGUGUCUUUUUGAUACAGAACUCUUGCUUUGGUUUGGCCUAGAGAUAGGUUGGGCCAGAGGUUUAACAAAACACAAUUUAAUUAUUUUUACAGUUAGUCAAAUUUUGAAUUAAUCUUCAAAACUUUCAACAACGGAUCUCUUGGUUCUCGCAUCGAUGAAGAACGCAGCGAAAUGCGAUAAGUAAUAUGAAUUGCAGAUUUUCGUGAAUCAUCGAAUCUUUGAACGCACAUUGCGCCCUCUGGUAUUCCAGAGGGCAUGCCUGUUUGAGCGUCAUUUCUCUCUCAAACCCCCGGGUUUGGUAUUGAGUGAUACUCUUAGUCGGACUAGGCGUUUGCUUGAAAAGUAUUGGCAUGGGUAGUACUAGAUAGUGCUGUCGACCUCUCAAUGUAUUAGGUUUAUCCAACUCGUUGAAUGGUGUGGCGGGAUAUUUCUGGUAUUGUUGGCCCGGCCUUACAACAACCAAACAAGUUUGACCUCAAAUCAGGUAGGAAUACCCGCUGAACUUAAGCAUAUCAAUAAGCGGAGGGGAUCUUAAGUAUUCUUUUGCCAGCGCUUAACUGCGCGGCGAAAAACCUUACACACAGUGUCUUUUUGAUAAGAACUCUUGCUUUGGUUUGGCUAGAGAUGGUUGGGCGAGGUUUUACAAAACACAUUUAAUUAUUUUU